UCGAAGUGGCUCAAAAUCAACGGCUGAAAAUAAAAAUCUCACAAAAUAUGAUGAUAUGACAUUAAAAUUUUAGAUCGAAGUUAUUGAUCUUGUUUUAUAUGGUAUAAAGAAUUUUCUAUCAAAAUUUCAUGUGAUUUGGAUAUUUCUACACCGUUAAACUUGCAACCGGCUCACCACGGCCGUUAAAAUUAUUGAUUUUGAGCCCCUUCGAUCACUAGGCAAAUGAUAUCGAAAAAUCGCAAAAUUUAUUUUCUAGGUACUUCAAAUACUCUAGAUCGACUCUAACGGAGCCGAUCGUCGAUUCGAAAGUCCGAACAUCGAAAACAACUUGGAAGCACGGAGGGCUCCGUGCUUCCAAAAGCAUACCAGCCCACUCUAUAUAUAUAUAUAUAUAGUUGGGCUAGAAUACUAUUGAUAGCAAAACGUAAUUUUUGCUAUCAAAUUUUUAGCCUUGGCAUCAACUCUUUUCAUCAUUUCUAAUCAUUCGAUUAAAUACUAUAAACCAGUGGGGAUCACUCAACCCUAGGGGGACCACUCAACUCUAACUGACUAAUAUCAUCUUAUCCCUACAAUUUCUCAUCCAGGGGUUAAAAACUUGAUAGCAAAAAGAGCGUUUUGCUAUCAAUAGUAUUCCAGCCUAAUCCUAAUUCUCUCUCUCUCUCUCUCUCUCUCUCUCUCUCUCUCUAUAUAUAUAUAUAUAUAUAUAUAUAUAUUCAGUUUAGCAGCUCUUUAGCUUAUGGUUGUAGCUUGGUUUGUUUACAGGUACAGCUAUCGCUUUGUAUACAGAAAAAAUUUCUAUGUAUACAGCAAAUCUGUUGGCUUGCCCCGGAAAACGUGUAAUUUGGGGUGUGACAGUUACGGAACAUUUUAAAAACAGAGUAUUUGUUAAAAAUAAGAGUAUUUGGAUUAAAGCUGUAAUUUUCGCAAAGAAGUGUUUGCAAAGAAGUGUUUGGAUGAUUUUUGUAGAAAUACAAAAUAAAAUAAAACAACAUUAUGCUUAUAUAAUUUUGGACCAUAUGUUAGUACAAAAAUAACUGAAGUGUAGAGCAUUUUACCGCGGCAAGUGUCCGUCAAACAUAAGUUAUUUUGAUAGAGUUAAUUUAUUUUAGUAGAAAGGAGAAAUUUUGGGUUAUUCUAGAAUAAUUUGUUAAAAGCUAUUCUCUCUCGCCACUAGAAUAGGACUAUUCUUUGAUUUAUACUUUAUCUCGUUUUGCUAAACAUAUACUUUUUCUAAUUAUUCUUUAUUAUUCUUUAUUAUUUUUAAGAAAAUUAUCAAGCUUGUUUUUUGUUACCUCAAGAANCUCUCUCUCUCUCUCUCUCUCUCUCUAUAUAUAUAUAUAUAUAUAGUUUAGCAGCUUUUUAGCUUAUGGUUGUAGCUUGGUUUGUUUACAGGUACAGCUAUCGCUUUGUAUACAGGAAAAAUUUUUAUAUAUACAGCAGGUUUGUUGGCUUGCCCCAGAAAACGUGUAAUUCGGGGUGUGAUAGUUACGGAACAUUUUAAAAACAGAGUAUUUGUUAAAAAUAAGAGUAUUUGGAUUAAAGCUGUAAUUUUCGCAAAGAGGUGUUUGGAUGAUUUUUGUAGAAAUACAAAAUAAAAUAAAACAGCAUUAUGCUUAU
rnacentral:lncRNA from 1 species